rnacentral:lncRNA from 1 species
AUGUUAUUUGCAGGAGGCUUGCAAGUAGAUUCCUCAGAGGACUCGUGGCAACACAAGCUUAGCAUAAGAAUGCUGGCUGCUUCAUCUGUAACCCUUGGUUACCAUGGUUUCCUUCAAGAUUCAGCAUCACCACAAAAAAAAAAAACUGGAAAGAUUUAUAUGAAGGGAUAUAAAGAGAAGUGAGAAGAACCAUGAGAAGAUUGUACAUAUUAACAGCAAAAAAAAAAGUGUGAUGAUCACCUGUGAAUGACAACUAUUAUCAGCAAUGCCAGAUCCAAGACAACUCCAAGGGAUUCAUGAAGAAAAAGACUAUCCACUGCACAAAAGGAACUGAUGGAGUCUGAAUACAGACUGAACCAUAUGAUUCUUCACUUUAUUUCCUUCUGAAUAUUUCUCUACUAUAAAUGAUACAUGUCUUCUUUCAUAAGACAACAAACUUGGAAAUAUAUAUUGCAUGCUAGCACGUGUACAAUCUAUAUCAUAUUACCUGUUUGGGAGCGAGGGUUGUAUGGGAGGGAGGGAAAGAACAUGGGUAAAAAAUCAGAAAAUGAAUAUUAAAACUAUAUCUAAGAAGCAGUUAGGUAGCUCAGUGAAUUGAGAGUCAGGCAUAGAAAUGGGAAGUCCUGAGUUCAAAUGUGAUCUCAGAUAUUUCCUAGCUGUGUGACCCUGAGCAAGUCACUUCACUCCCAUUUCCUAGCCCUCACCCUUCUUCUCUUUUAAAUCAAUACACAGUAUUGAUUCUAAGACAGAAGGUAAGGUAUUUUUUAAAACUAUUAACAUGUAAUCUGG